UCAUAGUGAAAAAAAAAAAGGCAGAGAGAAUGUGACUGACACAAAGUGAACAAUAGCACUUUGGUGGUGGAGAGCUGAGCUGUAACUGCUGGCUGUUCGCAUAAGUUCAUAGUGUGCAAUGAAAUGAGAGCAUUUCUGCUUAUCUGGUCCAUCUGUGCUGCAGUGUAAGCUGCUUUCCUUGAUGUCUGAGUUUGUUCUGCUCUUACCAAAGCUCCAGUGUUACUGCUCCCAACAGUUCACAAAGUGCCACUGAAUGGGGUGCAUAGCAGGGAGGCUGAGAAGCAGGAAUGAUGCUCCAAAGACACAGUCUUCUGUUACUGUCUGAAAGUGUUUUCUAUGGUAAAGGUUUCCUUGGGUGGACGUGGCUAGGAAGUAGAAGCAUACAUGGGUGGAGGAGAGCUUGCACCUAGAACUGCUGACGGCUAGAGUACUUCUGAGGCCCUAUUUUCACUGUAGAUCAAGGCGUUUGAUUUUUCAAUAGGAAAUGACUCAUAUUAACUGGAAGGAAAACAGAAGUUUCUGGCUGAGUGUCUUGAGUCUAGGAGAAAAAAAGUGAGCUCCAAAUCUCAACUUGUGUAUUUCUUCUAUAAAUAUCCUAUUUGCAGAUAUACUGGAUAUGUGUGUUUAUCCCUUUUCAGACUCACUGUAUUUGUUGUUUCUUAAUGGAGCCAGUGGUUUCCCGCUACAAAACUCUUCUUGCUUUUUCAGCAUCACUUGAUUUUCUUCCUCUUCUGUCUUUUCAUUAAACAACCAAAGCCUGCUUAAAAAAAGACCAAUGCUACAAAGGAAAGAUGGGCCCUUGCUGCAGAGCUGGGAUCUACAACAGAACACUGAUGUCCUGGCUAAGGGAGACCUGCAGCCAGAGCUGAGCAAAGUCCAGGUGAAGAAUCAGACCUUGCCUAGCACAGAGCUCAAAGCUGGGCACAAAAGUUAUCAAACAGUAAGUGCUCCUUGGUGCUGCAGCAGCUGGACAUCACUUGUCUUCUCCAAACCCUGUGUGCCAUGUGUCAUUCCCACUUGAGGCUUUCUUGGGUGGCAGAAAUGCAGCAGAGCAUCUCUCUGCUGGUGUGUGAUUGCUCCAGGGCUCAAGCAUGGGCUGGUAUAAUGGAUCCUGAGCCAUCGACAGGGCAUGAAAAUGCACCUGCCAUUAAUCUAAGUAAUGUCUUGGUUCUCCAGAUGUCCAUGGCAUCAUGAGCCAAGGGCUUGUGAGACCUUUGCGAUAGAGAGCAUGGCCCACGCUAACCUUACCACGGGCAGAGGUGCUGUUGCAGGAGGGGGCAGGCAGGUCUCUCCUGAAUGUGGCUCAUGUGAGCAACUCUAUUACACCAAACUUCCUGCAGAAAGAGACCGUUAAUACUAAUAUGAAUAAACCACAUUGCUAUGGCAGCAGACCAAAUGGCUCAUGUGCACCCACAGCAUUUUCUAGUGCAAGAAGGAGGUUAAAAUCAUUCUGAAAAGGCAUCUGAAAUGUUCUACAGGUGCUUGAGAGGAGUGAGCAUCCAGGUGCUGCCACGUGUUGGUCUGUGUAAGUGUGUAUUGGGGAUGCAGGCAGUUACAGACAGGAGAGUUGGCCAAGAAU